ACUCCUAACCCUUCCCUCCAAGACCCUCCACAGGCUACUCUUUCAUCGCAUCCCCCACCUCAACUCACCUGCGCAAACUCAUGGUUCAGCCAAGCUUGACAACUUUCCUUUUUUAUAGCAUCUAGCAUUUUCUCCCCUUUGCCAGACUUGCCAAUUCCAGCUGGAAUACCUCCACACAGGGCCGUCUCUCCCUGUUGACAUCCUGGUCGGCCUUCAAGGCUCACUUCAGAUGUAUCGUUCUUGAAGUUGUCCUACCCACCGAACCUGGAAGCUCACUGUCUGGAGGGUCUGUGAAGGGGUGUAGAGCUGUGGACUAUAUUCAUCCGGCCCUGAAUGGCUUUCAAUUGUGUGGGCACGGGCUUUCUCAGGACACCGUACUCAGUGGUCCUCAGAUGUCUGUAAGGAAUGAGGGCUGCUGGUCACUCAGGGACCAACUGAGGCUGCCCUUCAUGAUCCUUGCUCUUGGUGGCUGAUUCCGUGAAAGAAGUUUCAUGUCAUGCUAUGGCUUCUUCUUGAGACGAGUUGUUUAGGGAAGAAAGAGGUCUAUCCAGAAGGAGGGAGAUCUAGUGCCAGCUUGGGGAUACAUGUCACCUGGUAGAUACUGAAAGGGAAAUUGGCUUUCUUUCUUUUUUUUUUUUUUUAAUUUUUUUUAAUGUUUAUUUAUUUUUGAGACAGAGAGAGACAGAGCAUGAACGGGGGAGGGUCAGAGAGAGAGGGAGACACAGAAUCUGAAACAGGCUCCAGGCUCUGAGCUGUCAGCACAGAGCCCGACGCGGGGCUCGAACUCACGGACCGCGAGAUGGUGACCUGAGCCGAAGUCGGCUGCUUAACCAACUGAGCCACCCAGGCGCCCCGGAAAUUGGCUUUCUUUAGGCCCAGUGUUAGUCACAGGUCAUAUGUCAACAGGACAAGUAUUAACAGCAAGAGCAGCUUCUUAUGACAUUAGUAUCCAUAAGAAAAUUUAAAAACAAUUUUCUUUAGAGGGAGAUGGCUCCAAGGAGAAGAGCAGUGAAUCCUGUGAUAUGUGUGUUUUCUUUUGAUUGCUGUUUUGGUAAAAUCCUUAUUUUGUCUCUGUUCUGCAAACUGCCUUCUUUUCAAACCAUACAUUUUCUAAAAACAUUUUAAGUUUAAUUUCCAGAAAUGUAAUGCAGUUAUCUUUACUCUGAUAACAAACAUAAAUGUGAAAAGAAUGCCAAGGGUGUGAAAAUCUGCCUUGAACAAAACAUUUUUUUCUAUAUAUUAUGUUGUGCUUUUAAAAUUAUAAUCAUUUUUGAGUGGCAUAAACUCAGAGCUACAGUUGGAAAAUAUAUUUUGGAGUUUGGUUUCUUGGCAAAUGUUACUUCAAACAAAUAAGACUUACAAAAAUAAUGCUUCUCAUUUCUAAAAAGAAAAAAAAAUUGUGUUGCUAUGAAAACUGUAAAUACCAAUUUCUCAGAACAGAAAAGGCAUGUUAGUUGUUUGACAUCAUGUAAUUUUGUAGUUGAUCAAGAAAAAAAUACACUCAUUUGUAGACCUUUGAAGAAUUGGACAACAAUUUUUUUUGAAGUCCAAUAAUGUGAUUAUUCAGAAGUAGUUAGAACUAGUUAGCUUGGAUGUAUUUAAUUGCCUGCUUCUGGUUUAAGGAAAUACACUGGAUCUUGUAUGCUUAAGAAUUUUAACAGAUGCUUUUCCCUUGACUGAGUCAGUAAGUAGUAAAUGCAGCGUUAAAAUUCUGCCUUAUUCACCUGGCAAUAAAGUGAAUUCACUUCUUCUCUUUCACAGUGGGUAGGGUCAUGAAGCAGGCAGUUCCCAGAAAGUCAGCCUAAUUGGCAUAGUUCUUAGGAGCCCCUGGUCUGUCUUUCAGAGGGAUUCAGUGUCAUGAAAAUACUGACCUAUCCCUGAGUUGGAGACCUACAUGUCAUUUGAUUCAGUGCACUCUUAGAAAAGUUGUACCUGCUUCUUAACAGGGACUCCAGGAUUUGAUGAUCUUAAUUUUGAUUUAAAAAUUGAGCUUGAUGUUUUGUUUUUGUUUUUGUUUUUUUGCCUAUCUAAACGUAUUGUGGACAAUUUCAAACAUGUACAUAAUUAAACAGGAGUAUGACAACCACUUAGUUACCAUGAUCAACUUGAAAAACUUAGGAACUUCUGGCCAAUUGUGUUUCACCCAGACACUUAACCCCAACACGCCCAGUAUUAUUUUGAAGCAGUAUUUAAAAAUCAUGUGUACGUAUUUAUUGAUGCAUAACAUUUCAGUAUUUAUCUCUAAGAGAUAGGGCUCUCUUUUUAAAACUAUUAUCACACCAAGGGAAAAAUUGAACAAAAAUUCCAUAGUAUCAACAUAUAGUCAGUGUUUAAAUUUCCAAUUGUGUGUGUGUGAGUGUGUGUACUCUUUCUAGUUUGAUUUUUUUGACUCAAUCCAAAUAUUAUAAUAAUAUAAUAUAUAUUAUAUAAUAUAAUAUAUAAUAAUAUAAGACCACAUAUUAUACUUGGUUGCUGUGUAUUUUAAUGCAUUUUUAAUAUAAAAGUUUUAACUAUGAAAAAUUCAAACUUACAGAAAAGUAAAGAAAAAAAUAUGUAUCAGGCAUGCAUUUAACAAAUGUUAACCUGUUGCCAUAUUUGCUUCAGACAUUUCUUUGCCUUUUUUUUUUUUAGAAUAUUCAAUAUAGCGUCCCUCCCCUUAUUUUUCCUUUUUUUCCCCAUUUAAACAAUAUUCUAUAAUUGGUGCAUAUCAUUUCUAUAAUUCUAUAAUUGGUGCAUGUCAUUUCUAUAGUAUGUUUUUAUGUUCUUGCUACAUACCUGUAUGCAUAAAUAUAUAUUUUUGUUUUUAUAUUCUAUAUAAUGUUUGUCUUUUUGCAACUAUUUUUUUUCCACUCAAUGUGCAUAUUCAUACAUGUAAUUCAAAUAGUUCAAUUUAAACUGCUGUAUACUAUUCCCUUAUAGAAUAAAUGCCAGCUUAUUUGUUACUAGUGAACAGUUAGGAUGUUUCCAGUUUUUUUACUCCUACAAAUGAUUCUCAGUAAAUAUCCUUUUAUGCAUUCCCCUUGUGUAUAUGAAUGAGAGUUUAUUUACAUGAUAACACCUAAAAGUGAUGGCGAUGUCUUUGGUUUUGCUGGGUAUUAUUUCUCUCUAAAGUUAAAUAAUUCAAUUAUCAGCAUCUAUAUAUGAGAUUUCCAGUUUCUCCAGAACUUCCCCAACACUCAGUAUUGUUAGGUUUCUAAAUUUUGCCAAUCUCAUGGGUAUGAAAUGGUAACUCCCAUUCUUAGAAUUUGUACUUCCCUAAUUACUCGUGAGAUUUAGUGUCUUUUUGUAUUUAUUUGCCAUUUAGGUUUCCUCUUUGGUGAAGUGACUAUUUUUAAAGGUGUUUUUCUAACAACAGAUUUUGGAAUUUCAGGUGUUCAGUAUUACUUAUGCAGGCAAAUUAAUUGUUUUCAAAUGGUUCAAUAUGGUUUUAACUUUGAGAAAUAGUUGUAGGAGAAAUCAUAUUUAUAGUUAUAUGUAGAUACUUUACGAUUGCAAAAGGACAUUUGUGACAGAGCUAAGGUCUUUCAGGAUGGAGAAAAAUCAACCAUAUAUGCAGAAGCUACUUAAAAUAAUGUUGUUUUUGACUAUUCUAUUUUACUGAGUCUUUAACCAUAUAUCUUCUUCAUUUGCUUACUUUUUUCCUACCUCCCAACUAUGUUUUCCUCCAUAGCUUGUGUACCUCUCAGUAACUGACCAAUAUUAGUUUCCACACACUCAACACGUCCGAUAUCUAUCUGCUUCAUUUUCUGUCCUUGAAAUUUCCCUUCCAGGAUCCUCUGUCCUCCUUUUCCAAUAAGCCCUUGUUGUUCCAUGCCUGCUAUAUAGGUGUCACCCUUCAUACUCCUCCUGUGACAGAUCCCGUGUGCUCAGUCUCAUUUUUUAUCUUUUAUGACCUAUUCCUUUAUGUGGUGGAUCUUGCCUUCAAAUGUUCCCAAGAAAAGCCGUAAUGAAAGCACAUUUUUUUCCAAAUAACUAACUUGAAAUGUAUUUUUCACAUCAUUUAUUUUUGCUUUUAUACUUGGUUUUUGUAAUAUAUUUAGGCUUAGAAUUCCAGAUCAAAAAUCAUUCUCCUUCAGGGGCACCUCCAUGGCUCAGUCGGUAAAGUGUCUGACUCUUGAUUUCAGCUCGGAUCAUGAUCUCAUGGUCUUGAGCUCGAGGCCUGCAUAGAGCCCCGUGUCAGACUCUGUGCUGAAUGUGGAACCUUCUUAAGAUUCUCUUCUCCCUCCCUCUGCCCCUCUCCCUUGCACCCUCUCUCUUUCUCAAAAAAUAAUUUAUUCUCCUUCAGAAUUUUGAACGGUUUGAUUAUUCUGCUUCUUAGGGUUUCUGUUGAGAAGUCUGAUGUCAUUCUUAUUUCUAAUUCUUUGUGACCUGUUCUCAAUUUUGGAAGCCUUUGCAUUUCUUUCUUUAUCCCUUGUUGGAUGAAUUGUAUUAUAUGUCUUCAUGUGGUCUUUUGUUAAAACCAUUCUUACUGGUUACUUGAGACAUUUUCUUUGAUUGUGGGAAAUUUUCUUUAAAAAAAUCUUCUCAUCAUUAUUAUCUUAUUGGAACUGUUUCUCGUUCAUAGUUGGACCUCUUGGGUCCUCUGAUUUUUCUGCUUAUUCCGCCCCCACCCCCACUUCUAUUCCCAUUUCUUAAUGUUUUUGUUUUCCUUUCUGGGGGAUUUUCUUAUCCUUAACCUCCUACUAGUCCAUUGACUUUUUUUUUUUUUUUUAAUUCAGCUAGCAUAUUUUUAAUUUCAAGAGAUUUUCCUUUUUCUCUUAUAGUUGAUAUUUUAUGGAAUCUUGCUUUGUAGUUGAAUGUCUUUUAAAUAUUUCUUUGAAGAUAUUAGAGAUUUUCUUGAGCUUCCUGUAUUCUUGAGUUCUGUUUUUUUAAGUUAGGCUUGUGUCUGUAUUUGCAUUAGGCUCUCCCUUUCAUAUUCCAUAGUAUACCUACCAUUGUGUAUUGCUGUGAGAAUUGAGUUGAAUGUUUCACUCAAAGUCAACUAAUGUUAGUGGCUUAAAGACAGAAGCCCUAUAAUGCAAUUCUGUCUUGACUACAUCCAUUUGAUUCUGCUGAGAAGGCAAGGGUUAGGCUAAAUGAAAAUUUAAGGUACUUUCAACAUAUAAGCAUUCGAAACUGGUUGACUAUCAGGACUUUGAGUAGAUAAAUUUUUUGUAUCAGGUAUACACUAAUUCCUUUGGCAAUAUGUUUUUAUACCUACCAUUAUUAUAAACUGAAAUCAACUUUGAUAUUGUCAGACUAAAUGUAUUACCUUCUAUUUCUUAAAUGUUACAUCUUAGUUUUAGUAAACUCAAAAGGCUGAAGAAUAGGAAUCUAAAUUACAAGAGAAACUUACCAAUUCUUUGCCAUCAACAAAUACACCCAGGGUAUAAAAGAUCUUUUCUGAUUAUGGUUCACUUGGGAGACGUUAAAUUUUCUAGGCAAAAGCAAAGGGACAUAUUUGAAUCUGUAUCAUAUCUUAUAGGUAGCUAUAAAAUCAAAUGAACCUAAUUUAUUUUAUGAAACAGAGCGCCCCAAAUUGUGUAUCUUUCUAAAUAGAUAAAAACCCAUACGCACACACUUGCCAAUGACUUGUCAUACAGUUGCAUUAAAAUUGAUGUAAACACAUUCAGCAUCCAGAGGAGGCCCCUAAUUUAUUGCCACAGUGUUCCAUUUUUUUUUUUCAGAUGUAUAGGAGCUACGCUGUUGGAAUAACAGAGAACCCUUUAUAAUUUUAUAGUCCAAAUAUAUGUGAGGCUAUGCACUUUAAAAAAUAUACCAUGGAACAUUUCAAAUGUAUACAAAAGUAGAAUUGUUUAAUGAGUUCUCAGCUCUAAUGAUGACCAACACACAGACAAGCCAAUCCUGGUUCAUCAGUGCUCAUAUCUCUCUCUCACACUGGGUUAUCUUAAAGCAAAUCCAGGAUAUCCUAUGAUUUCAUUUCAAAAUACUUGAGUAUCUUUCUUUAAAAGGCAAGAAGUGUUUUUUUUUUUUAAGCAUCACCACAAUAUCUUUAUUACACCUAAAAAACUUUAUACUUGAAACCAUACUGUCAGUACAUGAAUUUCUCUGUCUCAACUUUUUCCCCUUGGUUUGUUUGAUCCAAAUAAUUUCAUAUAUUGUAUUUGGCUUGUAUAUCUCUUAGAUCUCUUUUAAUCUAAAUUUCUCCUGCCCCCCCCCCUUUUUUAAGUCUUAUAAUUAUUUGAAAAGACAGUGUUGUUUGUUUUUUGAAAAGACAUUUAUUUCCUGGAAGAAAAUCAUUUUUUUUAAAUGUCCUACAUUCUAAAUUUUUCUGCUUGCUUUCCUAUAGUGUUAUUUAAUGUAUUAUUCUUCCCCCCGUGUUUUCUGUAACCUGGGUAGUUGGGAUAGGUGUUUGGUGUUUGACUAGAUAGAGGCUUUUUUGACCUGAAGAAUCUUCACAGAUCAGAUUAUAUGUUUCCUAUAUUGUCCAUGUUAUACAUUUCCUGUUGCAUCCUAUCACGAGGCCAACCAUGUCUGUUUAUCUUUUUAUGAUAUUAUAUCUGAUCUGUGGGUUCAGAUAUUGUCGGCUUGAUCCAUCCACUACAAAGCUCUCCAUCUGCUUUUCUCCUAAUAACUUGAGCAGCCACUGUCGAUAAUUGCCCGUGUCCACCAGAAGGACAUCACGUACAAGUUUAAGAGUUUCUGAAUUUGGAAAACCUCACUUAUUUUCAGCUUCCUGCCCCUGACCUAUUCUGACAUCUUGGUCAUUUGUUGUUUCUUUCUUAAUGUAUAAUAGAUUUGCCUUUUUUUUAUGGUACCGGUUCCCCAAAUACGUUAUGUGGAACGUACCAAGCACACUGUGAGAAAAGUCCCCCUCAGUUUGGAGGGUGCCACAUACUCUUUUCCCCCCUCAGAGAUUUAUGAUACAGGUGAGCCGAUUAAAGGUCUGAGGAAUCUGUUAAGAAACUUGAUUUGCCCACAGUUUCAUCAGCUUCCUUGACCACUGUAUUUAUUCUUCUGUCAUUAAUACCUGUUAGUAUCUUGUUUAGAGAAACACUUUGAAACGCAUCCUAAAGAAGAGAGGAAGGCAGAGGCACUUGCCCCAUCCUCUCAUGGGGCUUGCUAACGUUAAGGUCGUGAGUCCAUAACAUUGGCACCUUAUGGGGAGAAAGGAGAGCGAGAGCAAAUCAAAGUUCAUAUAAUAGACUUGGUUCAUCAUACCAUGUCUUGUGUUAAUCUCGUCUUCAUUGUAUCGGUUGCUUCAGUUGUUCUGUUUCUUGUCAAUGUUACCUACAUAACUCCAGGUGAUUCAAAUGUUAAUUACUGAUAAGACAAUAAAGUCCAGCUAUAACAGUUACAAUUUAAAAAAUUAUAACUAUUUCCUUUUAUAUGUUAUAAAUUUCUUCAUGCACAUGGACCCCCAGAGCACAUUUCUGUUAUUUUAGUUCAGGUGUAUUACUGUAGAUGGGGAGUAGUAAGGAAUCCUAACACGGACCCCCAGAGCACAUUUCUGUUAUUUUAGUUCAGGUGCAUUACUGUAGAUGAGGAGUAGUAAGGAAUCCUAACACUAAUGGAGACUGUUGGUUUCAGAUGCCAACGCCGGGUUCGUUUUCAUGCCAGAGGUUCACAUGCUGCUUGUGCCUCACUAUGGAAAAUAGAGUCGAGCAAAAUUAGUGACAUAGACCAAUUUUCCUUUGCUCUGAAGAUACCUCAAGUUCUGUACAAGAAAUGUUUUCCAUUAGAAGAAAAAUGCCGUGUAUUAACGCUCCUGAGAAAAAAUAGUGAUCGCCAGUAAUGCCAUCAGGAAACGAUUUUUUCAAUGUUUCACAGUGUAAGCAUGAAUCAAACAUUAAACAGGGACUACAACUUAUUCUGCAGACUUGGAACAUUAAUCAAAAAUUUUUUUGAGGUGGAGUUAUUCUAGGAAAGUGUGAAUUUUGAUUUUAGGAACAUGCGUAAGGGAUGUAGUAAUCAGAAGCACAAGUCAGAACACUUCAUUAAAAUAAACAAGAACAGAGCCAAGGCCCAGAAGACACGAAGCACUGUGUUGUGAGUUUUGUUUGGGAGAAUGGAAUGGGAUGAGACACAGAGGCCUGAGCAAGGCAUCAUCAAUGAUCCCGACAGUCGACUCAGUGUGCUUUUUGUAGCACUGGGUGCUGGGUGCCUGGCCAUUGGCCAUACGUUGAGUUAAAUUCUAGAUGUCCCCAGUUGAUAUUUAUGAUGAAAGUUAUACUGGUGCUUUUAAAUUUAAAUGAAGCUUAAACAUUAUCAUAAUUUAAGAUGCUUUUCUAUUCAGAAAAUCCAGAAAAGGCAAAUAUUACACUAAUUAUUUAAACAUGAUAGACAACUCCUUUUGACGUGUCACAGACUUUUUCUUCCUGACAAGUUACUCUUAAGUCUGCUGUUCUUUGAAGGGAAGAUUGCGUGCAGGUUUUGACUGUAAACAUUAUCUUCUCAAUAGGUAGUUUUCCAAAUACUGUCCGUUGAAGACUCUAUGUUGGCUCAGUCAGAUAGGUGUUGUUGAGAAGAAUGAAGGUAGAAGGGUGGGGCAUAGGUCUGGAAAUUACCUUAAAAACAUUAUCUUAGAUGCAACUUAAGGUAAUACAUUUGUAUUUCUUGAGCAUAAAGCAGUUUAAAAACACAUCCAUUUGUUGUUCCCUCAGAAUAUUAUUUGGUGAAGUGCUAAGCCAAAGUCCAAAUGUAUAAAUUCUCAUACAGUAGAAGUUCAAGAGGCCAGAAGGGUGAUUUUAGUCACGUCCUUCAUGAACUGAAGCCCAAACAGAAAUGACUUGCCCAAGGUUACGAUUUACCUUGUGGUUUAUUUAACUCUUGGGUUAGGAGGCGCUUCGUUCAUUUUUAAUAUGGCACAUGGUCGCAUGGUACACUUUGAGUUUAUAGAAAAGAACCACUUAUCCAGUUGGCUCAGAAGAAGAAUGAUGGUGAGCCGACGGAAGGAAUUCUCAUUUUGCAUCCUACUAGUAUCAGCUUUUCAGGAGCUGAUUUCUAUAGUUGUAAGUCAUCCUACACCCCAGAUUCUCUUUCCUGAUUGUCUAAAAUUCCAACAGCAGGUGAGAAGUGUGAAAAUGGUCAGUGUAAACGUCCGCCAACAGGUUGCAACUAAGGGCUGAAAACAGGGAGAUUUAGGCAACUGUCUGUGGAUACGUAUCAGUGUGUGGUGUGGGGCAUAUCGCUUGGUAGCACGGGUGCUUUUUGCCCCCCACUCCAAAAUGUGGGUACUUAGAAUUUUUUAAAACUUCAUUAGCAGGUGGACUUAGACCCCACAUUGGACCUAUGGAAAUUUCUUGUGAAGGGUGAAGUUGUUUGGUGUGAAAAUUUUCAGUUAG